rnacentral:rRNA from 1 species
AUUGAACGCUGGCGGCAGGCCUAACACAUGCAAGUCGAACGAGUGGCGGACUGGUGCGUAGUUUCUUGGAAACUGCCUGACGUAGCGGUAUAACUACUGUCAAAGUUAGCUAAUACUGCAUACCACCCGUUGUGCUCUUACGGGAUUAGCUAGUAGGUGGGGUAAAGGCUCACCUAGGCGACGAUCCCUAGCUGGUCUGAGAGGAUGACCAGCCACACUGGAACUGAGACACGGUCCAGACUCCUACGGGAGGCAGCAGUGGGGAAUAUUGCACAAUGGGCGCAAGCCUGAGGCAGCCAUGCCGCGUGUAUGAAGAAGGCCUUCGGGUUGUAAAGUACUGUCAGCGGGGAGGCGUUACCCGCAGAAGAAGCACCGGCUAACUCCGUGCCAGCAGCCGCGGUAAUUC